UGGAUUAGUGGCGAACGGGUGAGUAACACGUGGGCAAUCUGCCCUGCACUCUGGGACAAGCCCUGGAAACGGGGUCUAAUACCGGAUACUGAUCGCCUUGGGCAUCCUUGGUGAUCGAAAGCUCCGGCGGUGCAGGAUGAGCCCGCGGCCUAUCAGCUUGUUGGUGAGGUAAUGGCUCACCAAGGCGACGACGGGUAGCCGGCCUGAGAGGGCGACCGGCCACACUGGGACUGAGACACGGCCCAGACUCCUACGGGAGGCAGCAGUGGGGAAUAUUGCACAAUGGGCGAAAGCCUGAUGCAGCGACGCCGCGUGAGGGAUGACGGCCUUCGGGUUGUAAACCUCUUUCAGCAGGGAAGAAGCGAAAGUGACGGUACCUGCAGAAGAAGCGCCGGCUAACUACGUGCCAGCAGCCGCGGUAAUACGUAGGGCGCGAGCGUUGUCCGGAAUUAUUGGGCGUAAAGAGCUCGUAGGCGGCUUGUCGCGUCGGUUGUGAAAGCCC
rnacentral:rRNA from 2 species